rnacentral:lncRNA from 1 species
AUCAACACUCGUUCUCACAAAAUACGAUUAUCUCUCAUGCCAGGACAUUGAUGGGAAGGUGUCUGUAAAUUUCCAUACUUGGUGACUAUCUGCGCGGCACACGUGAGAGGGUGGGGAUCCACUGAAGGACAUUUUCUCUGAUGCUAGGGUCAGUACCGCCUGAUCGGUGGGUCUAUCGUGGGCAACCGUAUUCAGACGAUUACGAACAUCGUCAGCAGUCUACAGAGGAGACCCACCAUCUUCACGGAUCUUGUGCUAUGUUUCAAGUUUGCUCUAGAUUAUGUUCAAUUUGAAGUCAAGAUUAACAUGCUCCAUCAUAAUCAUGUUUGAUAACUAGCUUCAAUUUCAUCAUUUGUUCCUUCAAUCCAGCGCAACAAGCCGCAAAAGGUCAUUUUCUGUGAGGGUGAGUGCUGGGACGCCAGUGAAAAAUCAUGAUUUUAUUUUGUUUUACAUAACAUUAGGUUAACCAUCAGUCAAAGUUGGUAAUUUCUGUUCCUUUACCCAGUAUGAAAGAAUAAGCUUUAUUGAAUCUGAUGAUAUCUCCAUGUACAGAAUUUCUCAAGGUGGCUUCAAAAGUAAGCACCAAUCUAUUCCGAGAGAAAAAUGGCCCUCAUGAAAUGAUGGUGUAUUGAUG